UGGUGGAAUGAUUUGUCUGUUUAAUUACGAUAACGAACGAGAUGAUCAUGAGAUACUAGUGGGUCUAAUGGAAACAUUGGACUUCCGCUUCUCUCUCAGAUUAAUGGAUCAAAGCCAUUUGAAAUGAUCGCAAUAACA
rnacentral:rRNA from 1 species